rnacentral:lncRNA from 1 species
CUCCUCGGUAUCCACCCAGAGAACUGAAAGCAGAGGCGGGAACAGGUCCUUGUGCUUCCACACUGAUAGCCACAUGCCUCACAACAGCCAAAAGGUGGGAACAACCCAAGUGUCUAUCAACAGAUGGGAAGAUGCACAAGAUGUGGUCCAUCCACAAAGUGGAAUAUUAUGCAGCCACAAAAAAGGAAGGAAAUCCUGGCAUGAACUACCACAUGGAUGAAUCAGUGAAGACAUGAUGCUGAGUGAAAUAAGCGAGCCACAAAAGGACAAAUACUAUGUGGUUCCACUCAGAUGAGGUCCCCAGAGUCAUGAAAUUCAAGAGACAGAAAGCAGGAUGAAAAAAACAGAAAAGAAAGACAAGAAGGAAGGAAGCGCCUGCCUGCCGGGAUGCUUGACGAACGUGGCUGUCCUUUCUCUGUGGCCAGCAUGCAGGACGCCACCACAGCAUGGCUGAUGAGUGAUGUGGAUCUGCGCCCAGCAUCCGAACCGGCGAACCCCGGCCGCCGAAGCAGAACACACUGAACUUAACCACUACGCCACCGGGCCAGCCCCUG